UACGUAGGGUGCAAGCGUUGUCCGGAAUUAUUGGGCGUAAAGGGCUCGUAGGCGGUCCGUCACGUCGGGAGUGAAAACUUGGGGCUUAACCCCAAGCCUGCUUCCGAUACGGGCGGACUAGAGGUAGGCAGGGGAGAACGGAAUUCCUGGUGUAGCGGUGAAAUGCGCAGAUAUCAGGAGGAACACCGGUGGCGAAGGCGGAUCUCUGGGCCUUACCUGACGCUGAGGCGCGAAAGCCAGGUAGGGAGCAAAACGGGGAUUAG
rnacentral:rRNA from 1 species